UGGGGAUUUUUGGACAAUGGGCGCAAGCCUGAUCCAGCAAUGCCGCGUGCAGGAUGAAGGCCUUCGGGUUGUAAACUGCUUUUGUACGGAACGAAACGGCUCUGGUUAAUACCUGGGGCUAAUGACGGUACCGUAAGAAUAAGCACCGGCUAACUACGUGCCAGCAGCCGCGGUAAUACGUAGGGUGCGAGCGUUAAUCGGAAUUACUGGGCGUAAAGCGUGCGCAGGCGGUGAUGUAAGACAGAUGUGAAAUCCCCGGGCUCAACCUGGGACCUGCAUUUGUGACUGCAUCGCUGGAGUGCGGCAGAGGGGGAUGGAAUUCCGCGUGUAGCAGUGAAAUGCGUAGAUAUGCGGAGGAACACCGAUGGCGAAGGCAGCCUCCUGGGCCAGUACUGACGCUCAUGCACGAAAGCGUGGGGAGCAAACA
rnacentral:rRNA from 1 species